rnacentral:rRNA from 1 species
AUUGAACGCUGGCGGCAGGCUUAACACAUGCAAGUCGAGCGGGGUGAUGGUGCUUGCACUAUCACUUAGCGGCGGACAGGUGAGUAAUGCUUAGGAAUCUGCCUAUUAGUGGGGGACAACAUCUCGAAAGGGAUGCUAAUACCGCAUACGUCCUACGGGAGAAAGCAGGGGAUCACUUAUGACCUUGCGCUAAUAGAUGAGCCUAAGUCGGAUUAGCUAGUUGGUGGGGUAAAGGCCUACCAAGGCGACGAUCUGUAGCGGGUCUGAGAGGAUGAUCCGCCACACUGGGACUGAGACACGGCCCAGACUCCUACGGGAGGCAGCAGUGGGGAAUAUUGGACAAUGGGGGGAACCCUGAUCCAGCCAUGCCGCGUGUGUGAAGAAGGCCUUAUGGUUGUAAAGCACUUUAAGCGAGGAGGAGGCUCUUUUGGUUAAUACCCAAGAUGAGUGGACGUUACUCGCAGAAUAAGCACCGGCUAACUCUGUGCCAGCCGCCGCAGUAA